rnacentral:rRNA from 1 species
UACGGAGGGUGCAAGCGUUAUCCGGAUUUACUGGGUUUAAAGGGUGCGUAGGUGGGUAUGUAAGUCAGUGGUGAAAUCUUCGAGCUUAACUCGGAAACUGCCAUUGAUACUAUAUAUCUUGAAUUAUCUGGAGGUAAGCGGAAUAUGUCAUGUAGCGGUGAAAUGCUUAGAUAUGACAUAGAACACCCAUUGCGAAGGCAGCUUACUACGGAUCGAUUGACACUGAGGCACGAAAGCGUGGGGAUCAAACAGG